rnacentral:rRNA from 1 species
AGCAGCCGCGGUAAUUCCAGCUCCAAUAGCGUAUAUUAAAGUUGUUGCAGUUAAAAAGCUCGUAGUUGAAUUUCGGGAUUGGCGCAUCGGUCGUGCCUCACGGGGUAUGAACUGGUGCAGUCAAUUUCUCACCUUCUGGAGAACCGCGAUGUCCUUAAUUGGAUGCCGCGGGGAACCAGGACCUUUACUUUGAAAAAUUAGAGUGUUUAAAGCAGGCAUUUUUGCUUGAAUACAUUAGCGUGGAAUAAUAAAAUAGGACGGCAUGGUUCUAUUUUGUUGGUUUCUAGGACCACCGUAAUGAUUAAUAGGGAUAGUUGGGGGCAUUAGUAUUCAAUUGUCAGAGGUGAAAUUCUUGGAUUUAUUGAAGACUAACUACUGCGAAAGCAUUUGCCAAGGAUGUUUUCAUUAAUCAAGAACGAAAGUUAGGGGAUCGAAGACGAUCAGAUACCGUCGUAGUCUUAACCAUAAACUAUGCCGACUAGGAAUCAGACGAUGUUAAUUUUUAAUGACUCG